AGGAGCAGAGAAACUGCUGCCUGGCACAGCAGGGGUUAAAGAAAACCUGUGGGUUCAGCUAGCCCCACCCUGUUAUACCUGCAGCAAAUGCCAGGCCUGGAGUGGGAAGAAAAGAAGGGAGCCUGACUCAGUUAGGGGCUGAUUGGUGAAGAGGCAGGAGUUCUCUGUUUGCCUGCCUGAAGUCAUGGACUGACAACCCUACCAGCCAAUGCAGCCAUUGAAGGCAACUCACCCAGAACUCAAUAUUCUCCUCGCUGUACUCAGACUUGAGGAAAGCCCAGAAAGCAGCCAGCCCACUUGCAGAUGGGGUGAACGCAAUAGGAAGUAGGGUGAAUAGGACAGAAAUGUGAGACAUGCUGGGGUCAGCAGCAGAGCUGACGCUGACCACAGUCUGGGACCAAGGCAGAGCCACUCCCUCCAUGUUUGGGAAAUUGUGGGUUCCUUGAGUUCCCCCACAGCCUGAGGAUGAGAUUUCAUCUGUUCCCAACUUCCUUAGAGCAUGUGCUGCUUUACCAAUAAGGGAUAGUUCAGUGUGAAUGCCAUGGUCUGUUC